rnacentral:tRNA from 1 species
GAGGGUAUAGCUCAGUGGUAAGAGCGCAUGCUUAGCAUGCAUGAGGUCCUGGGUUCAACCCCACACACCUCCA